rnacentral:misc_RNA from 1 species
GUUUUGUUAUUGUGUUGUUCAUUCAUGAUCAAGUUAUAAAAACAUAACAUUGGUGUUUUUUGGGGAACAAAGGCUGACGGCCCAAAGACCCCUUGGGGGGGGUACCAACGGAGAAGCCCGAAGCGAAGGCUUGCUCCGUUCACCCCACCAAGAAAUCCAUUUGGAGGGCCGCCAAAAUACGGCAAACGGUUCACAAGGGUGUGUAAAAGAUAGCCGGGCCAAGAGGUGGCGCGGGUUUCAAGCGCACCACCUCGUUGGCAGCCACUUUUUGGGGUAUUCAGUAAUGAUCCAACCGCAGGUUCACCUACGGUUA